rnacentral:lncRNA from 1 species
AUUACCUUCUGAAUCUUUCCUUAUUCUCUCUAGUGCACCUGAACCCAAAGCUAUGCAACUCUCUGUAUUCCCAGUUACUAAUACUCUGCCUUGCACAUAGUAGGCGCUCAAUAAAUGCUUGGAUUAAGUUGAAUUGAACUCUCACUUCGGGAAAAUUUUUCUACAUUUGUUCAUUUUCUUUCUUGUGCUCUUUCCUUCUCUUUAUUAUAGCUGUGCUUCAAAGAAACAACGUCAAUCAUAGUGAGAAGUAGGGCUCUAAGAGAGGAAUAUGCAAGGAGGAUACUUGGAACAGAGGUAAACUGAUGAAGAAGUGACUUGAGAAAUGGGACAUCGUCUGGGGCUCACAGACCUGUAUAGGAAGCCUCAAUGGAUUGCAGUGAGAACAGCUGGGAAUAUCCCAAGGUCACUGAGUGCCUCGUGGGAGAGGCACUGAAAGAAGGAGGAGGCUCUGCAUACAGAGGAACAGUUUUUGCCCUUAGAGAUUUUACAUUCUAUUGGUAGGAAGAGGAAACCGUUGCACAGCUAAGCUGUGAUGUAGAUAGCCCAUGGAAUUGGUUGACCAGUAUACAAUGCUCAG